CCGGGAAGAUAUCAAUCCUACACAAGAGUCUACUCCCUUAUCCGGAAGUAGGAUCGCCGCAAUGAUUAUUAUGUUAUCAAAAACAUCUAACACUAAGGUCUUGUUUUAUUACCCAUGUGGUUCAUUCGGAAUAUAAUUAACGAAUUCGAAGUCACCUACGAUCGAUCUAAUAAUUUUUUUAAUAUCGAACCUGUUGCUGUUAAGUUAAUG
rnacentral:lncRNA from 1 species